UUAAGUUCAGCGGGUAUCCCUGCCUGAUCCGAGGUCAACCUUGCGAGUAGGUCUUCUGGCAGACGGGGCCCCGACUUUCAAAGCGAAAGAUUCUGCUACGCUUAAAGCCGGUGCCACGCCGCCGAGCGUUUCGAGGCGCGUCCCUAAGGGACGUCGCCCAACACCAAGCCAGGCUUGAGUGGUGAAAUGACGCUCGAACA
rnacentral:misc_RNA from 1 species